CUUAAAACAUAAGUUUUAGUGUUGAGAUUGUUUGUAUUAAUACAAUAACUCGAAAUGAAUUGGGCAGAGGCAACUUUAGCUUUUAUACAACGUAUUAGGUUUUACCAUCUCGUUGGACAAACGGAAGCUAUUGCGGCAUCGGCGUUAUAACGAAUUAUAAGUUUGACCUCAAAUCAGGUAAGAUUACCCGCUGAACUUAA
rnacentral:misc_RNA from 1 species